ensembl:lncRNA
AUGACAGCUCUGCUGAAGAAAGGGGCUAUAGAAGAAGUACACCCCUCUCAGAUGGAGUCAGGUUUUUUUACAGCCGCUAUUUUUGUUGUACCAAAAAAAGGGGGGCGGUUUGCGACCCAUAUUGGAUCUACGCCGUUUGAAUCUUGCACUCAGGACGAGCAAAUUCAGGAUGUUAACGGUAAAGUCCAUUUUGUCUCAGAUUCAACCAAACACUUGGUUUGUCACGAUCGAUCUGAAGGAUGCAUAUUUUCAUAUUCAGAUCAUCAAGAGACACAGGAAGUUCCUCAGAUUCGCUUUAGAGGGCAAAGCGUAUCAAUACCGUGUUCUUCCGUUCGGCUUAGCCCUGGCUCCCCGAACUUUUUUUCAAAAUGCAUGGACGCAGCUCUGGCCCCGCUGCGGCUCCAGGGCGUUCGUGUGUUGAAUUACUUGGACGAUUGGCUGGUGCUAGCUCAAUCACAGACUCAAGCACUCUCUCACCGAGAUUUAGUGCUGAAUCAUUUAAGAAGCCUGGGCUUAUGCACGAAUUUCCAGAAGAGUGUUUUAAUCCCCUCUCAACGGAUAACCUUUCUGGGAAUAGAUUUGGACUCUCGCGCGAUGACAGCCAGACUAUCUCUCCCGCUCCUUCAGUCUCUCACGUCAUGCGUGCGCCACUUCAAAGUAGGCCGCACAGUGACGGUGAGUUUGUGUCUCAGGCUGUUAGGUCUGAUGGCAGCGGCAUCCCCUGUAAUUCGUCUGGGCUUACUUCACAUGCGCCCUUUUCAGUGGUGGACGAAAAGUCAGAACAUUUCACCCCGUUGUUUUUCCGCAUCGUACGAUUUCGGUGACACGGAGGUGUGUUAUGUCAAUAAAACAGUGGAUGUCAACCGAGUUCCUUCUAGCCGGAGUUCGGCUGGGGAUUUGUGCUUCCCGAGAGACUGUCACGACGGACGCGUCUUUGACCGGUUGGGGAGCUGUUUGUCAAGGGCGCCCAGCUCAUGGAGUGUGGACAGCGACACAACGCGGUUGGCACAUAAACAGGUUGGAACUACUGGCAGUUUUUUUCUAGCUCUCCAGUAUUUCUCAAAUCUGCUGACCGGCCGUCAUGUACUACUCAGGUCAGACAACAUGGCGGUUGUGUCAUACCUGAAUCAUCAAGGAGGGUUACGCUCUCGCCCCCUGUGCAGGCUGGCGAGGAGUAUUCUUCUUUGGUCUCGGAACAGAUUUCUAUCGAUCCGAGCAGUUCAUGUCCCCCGGACGCUUUGA